rnacentral:lncRNA from 12 species
AACGGGGGAAUGACGGAAAAGGGGAGCCUUGCUCCCCUCGCUCGGUCAUCCAUUUUCCGGUGCCCGUCAGAAAUGCCUCGGAGGUGCUGAACAAUGUCGGUGUGCACAGGGACAUGGGAAAGGGAUGGGGUCCACUGCAGAGGCUCAAAAGAUGUUGGAGGAGAGGUCCUGGAGACCACACGAGUCACGGAGAAAAACCUCCAACAGCUGUCUACUGUGCACCAUAGCUCAACUUUUCCUUCAUUGCUUUGAAUGCCUUUGCAGCAAUUACCUUAACACAGUAGCUGCACAACUCAGCACCAUUUCGA